ACAGGUGCUGCAUGGCUGUCGUCAGCUCGUGCGUGAGAUGUUGGGUUAAGUCCGUAACGAGCGCAACCCUUGUCCUUAGUUACCAGCACGUUAUGGUGGGCACUCUAAGGAGACUGCCGGUGACAAACCGGAGGAAGGUGGGGAUGACGUCAAGUCAUCAUGGCCCUUACGGCCUGGGCUACACACGUGCUACAAUGGUCGGUACAAAGGGUUGCCAAGCCGCGAGGUGGAGCUAAUCCCAUAAAACCGAUCGUAGUCCGGAUCGCAGUCUGCAACUCGACUGCGUGAAGUCGGAAUCGCUAGUAAUCGUGAAUCAGAAUGUCACGGUGAAUACGUUCCCGGGCCUU
rnacentral:rRNA from 1 species